rfam:Caenorhabditis remanei strain PB4641 contig20.24, whole genome shotgun sequence.
AACAGCACCUGGCCGAUUUCAUGUAAUAUCUGAAAAGAAAAGAUAUUACAUGUAUCGGGUAGGAGCUGUUUG